GUGGGGAAUAUUGGACAAUGGGCGCAAGCCUGAUCCAGCCAUGCCGCGUGAGUGAUGAAGGCCCUAGGGUUGUAAAGCUCUUUCACCGGAGAAGAUAAUGACGGUAUCCGGAGAAGAAGCCCCGGCUAACUUCGUGCCAGCAGCCGCGGUAAUACGAAGGGGGCUAGCGUUGUUCGGAAUUACUGGGCGUAAAGCGCACGUAGGCGGACAUUUAAGUCAGGGGUGAAAUCCCGGAGCUCAACUCCGGAACUGCCUUUGAUACUGGGUGUCUGGAGUAUGGAAGAGGUGAGUGGAAUUCCGAGUGUAGAGGUGAAAUUCGUAGAUAUUCGGAGGAACACCAGUGGCGAAGGCGGCUCACUGGCUCAUUACUGACGCUGAGGCUCGAAAGCGUGGGGAGCAAACAGGAUUAGAAACCCUAGUAGUCC
rnacentral:rRNA from 1 species